rnacentral:rRNA from 1 species
UAAUACAUGCAAGUCGGACGGGAUCCAUCGGUAGCUUGCUACCGAUGGUGAGAGUGGCGCACGGGUGCGUAACGCGUGAGCAACCUGCCCAUAUCAGGGGGAUAGCCCGGAGAAAUCCGGAUUAACACCGCAUGACACUGCUUUCCGGCAUCGGGAGGUAGUCAAAUAUUCAUAGGAUAUGGAUGGGCUCGCGUGACAUUAGCUAGUUGGUGGGGUAACGGCCCACCAAGGCGACGAUGUCUAGGGGCUCUGAGAGGAGAAUCCCCCACACUGGUACUGAGACACGGACCAGACUCCUACGGGAGGCAGCAGUAAGGAAUAUUGGUCAAUGGGGGCAACCCUGAACCAGCCAUGCCGCGUGCAGGACGACUUGCCCUAUGGGUUGUAAACUGCUUUUGUUAGGGAAUAAACCCCGCUACGUGUAGCGGGCUGAAUGUACCUAAAGAAUAAGGAUCGGCUAACUCCGUGCCAGCAGCCGCGGUAAUACGGAGGAUCCGAGCGUUAUCCGGAUUUAUUGGGUUUAAAGGGUGCGUAGGCGGCACUUUAAGUCAGGGGUGAAAGACGGCAGCUCAACUGUCGCAGUGCCCUUGAUACUGAAGUGCUUGAAUGCGGUUGAAGACGGCGGAAUGAGACAAGUAGCGGUGAAAUGCAUAGAUAUGUCUCAGAACACCGAUUGCGAAGGCAGCUGUCUAAGCCGUUAUUGACGCUGAUGCUC